GGGCUAGUGCCGGUCAUGUGACCAAGUGCUAGCCAGUGAGAGGUCAAAGGAAGUCGGCUGGGGGUGGGGGUUCUGGGAAGGUUUUAUAACCAGAUUGAAGGAGACACAGGCGAGGGAAAACUCCUCCACCCCUUCCUUACCCGCUAACCAGCUUCCUUCCUGCAUUUUAACAACGCUGCAGCGUCCUUGUGUGAGGAAGUGAUGCUCAUUGCCGAGGCUAUGAUCUUGUAGCCUUAUCCUUGGGAGGAUAAGCUGCUUCUCUCUUAGGCAAAUGGGAACCAAAACCACCCUGACCAGUUUGAGCCUAACCCCUCCCCACUCGCACCUGUGGACCCCGGAGUGACCUCUAAAAUGACCUACAACUAUCAGUACCUCAUUGUAAUAUAAAGUCUCCGCCCAAGGAGGCGCAUAAGCCUCAUUGACAUAACAUACAGGGCAUGGAUACGCAUGUUUCCUUAAGGCGCAUGCGAAGCCGCGCACAGCGACACCCGCCCUCCCCCAAGCAGGCUCCCCCAUCUAAAUAUUCGUCCUGACCCUUGGGGAGUCAUGGCUUUGGAAGUUAUUCCCGUGCUCUCCUUACUUGAUGCAAAUAAAGUUCCCCUUGUGCAACAA